CCAAUAGCGUAUAUUAAAGUUGUUGCAGUUAAAAAGCUCGUAGUUGAAUUUCGGGAUUGGCGCAUCGGUCGUGCCUUACGGGGUAUGAACUGGUGCAGUCAAUUUCUCACCUUCUGGAGAACCGCGAUGUCCUUAAUUGGGUGCCGCGGGGAACCAGGACCUUUACUUUGAAAAAAUUAGAGUGUUUAAAGCAGGCAUUUUUGCUUGAAUACAUUAGCAUGGAAUAAUAAAAUAGGACGGCAUGGUUCUAUUUUGUUGGUUUCUUGGACCACCGUAAUGAUUAAUAGGGAUAGUUGGGGGCAUUAGUAUUCAAUUGUCAGAGGUGAAAUUCUUGGAUUUAUUGAAGACUAACUACUGCGAAAGCAUUUGCCAAGGAUGUUUUCAUUAAUCAAGAACGAAAGUUAGGGGAUCGAAGACGAUCAGAUACCGUCGUAGUCUUAACCAUAAACUAUGCCGACUAGGAAUCAGACGAUGUUAAUUUUUUAAUGACUCGUUUGGCACCUUACG
rnacentral:misc_RNA from 1 species